rnacentral:rRNA from 1 species
GACGAACCGUGCGAACGUUGUUCGGAUUCACUGGGCUUAAAGGGCGCGUAGGCGGUCGACCAAGUCUGGGGUGAAAUCUUUCGGCUCAACCGGAAAAGUGCCCCCGAUACUGGCCGGCUAGAGGGAGAUAGGGGCAUGCGGAACUUCCGGUGGAGCGGUGAAAUGCGUAGAUAUCGGAAGGAACGCUGGUGGCGAAAGCGGCGUGCUGGAUCUCUUCUGACGCUGAGGCGCGAAAGCCAGGGGAGCAAACGGG